AUCCAGUCAGGGUGCAUGAAACUUGCUAUGAAGAUGUCGUCCAUUCACAAAAAUCUACAUUUAAGUGAAGAAGCUGCUUAUAUCUAAAGAUCGCUCUAUCACAAGCCAGUAGUCAGAGACAUCAUAUGGUUGAAGAAAGUAUUCGUAAUGACGGGGUUAAUCCCAUGGCAGAGCGGUGUGAUUACCUUUGAGACUCACGAUAUUGCUCAAGUUGGUGCUACGAUCUAUGAUGGAAAAAUUGAUCUCAAAGACAGGUCAAGGUUGAUGGGGAUAUCUAUAAGAAUGAGCAUGGGAUGCUAUCAUUGAAAGGAAAAGGGAGUUGAUCUGAUGUUGAGGGUCCACAAAGCUAUCAUGGACACACAGAGAUUUGAUGGUUGCUAGGUGAAUUUGGCAGAGUUUCUCAUUAGCUGCGGACUGCGGUUGUUUCUAUAUUUUUUCUAUUUAUCACCUAAGAAAAGUGUGUUUACUUAAAUUUUUAAACUCAUGAUGUAACAGAAGGGGAAAUUAAUCAGGGGCUGCAAGGUUAGUUAGAUGUUAUUAUAGUAGUUACUUAGUACUAGGACGAGAUGAGUUAUAAAUAUAGGGAAAUCAAAUUAGAGGGACGCAUUAUGUAGCAUUAUAUAUCUCUCAUUAAGUAUGUCCUUUAGUAUUUGAAAA